CACUAUGCCUAGCCUUAAACUUAGAUAGACCGAUACUUACACCUAUCCGCCCGGGCACUACGAGCACGAGCUUGAAACCCAAAGGACUUGGCGGCGCUUCAUACCCACCUAGAGGAGCCUGUUCUGGAACCGAUGACCCCCGUUCAACCUCACCUUCUCUUGUUCCUCCCGCCUAUAUACCGCCGUCGUCAGCUCACCCUAUGAAGGCCCAGUAGUGAGCGAAACUGGUACAGCCCAAAACGUCAGGUCGAGGUGUAGCGUAUGAGAAGGGAAGAAAUGGGCUACAAUUGCUUAAAUAGCUAAAACGAAUUGUAACGCUGAAAACGCAGACAUGAAGGAGGAUUUAGAAGUAAGGGGGAAGCAGAGUGUUCCCCUGAAAUGGCCCUGAAGCGUGCACACACCGCCCGUCACUCUCCCCAAGUAAAACCAUCAAGAAUAACUAAACAUUUCACCCUACAGAGGGGAGGCAAGUCGUAA
rnacentral:rRNA from 1 species